rnacentral:rRNA from 1 species
GAUGAACGCUGGCGGCGUGCCUAAUACAUGCAAGUCGAGCGAACAGACGAGGAGCUUGCUCCUCUGACGUUAGCGGCGGACGGGUGAGUAACACGUGGAUAACCUACCUAUAAGACUGGGAUAACUUCGGGAAACCGGAGCUAAUACCGGAUAAUAUAUUGAACCGCAUGGUUCAAUAGUGAAAGACGGUUUUGCUGCCACUUAUAGAUGGAUCCGCGCCGCAUUAGCUAGUUGGUAAGGUAACGGCUUACCAAGGCAACGAUGCGUAGCCGACCUGAGAGGGUGAUAGGCCACACUGGAACUGAGACACGGUCCAGACUCCUACGGGAGGCAGCAGUAGGGAAUCUUCCGCAAUGGGCGAAAGCCUGACGGAGCAACGCCGCGUGAGUGAUGAAGGUCUUCGGAUCGUAAAACUCUGUUAUUAGGGAAGAACAAAUGUGUAAGUAACUAUGCACGUCUUGACGGUACCUAAUCAGAAAGCCACGGCUAACUACGUG